rnacentral:rRNA from 1 species
GUAGGUGGCAAGCGUUGUCCGGAAUUAUUGGGGCGUAAAGCGCGCGCAGGCGGUCCUUUAAGGUCUGAUGUGAAAGCCCACGGGCUCAACCGUGGAGGGUCAUUGGAAACUGGGGGACUUGAGUACAGAAGAGGAAAGCGGAAUUCCAAGUGUAGCGGUGAAAUGCGUAGAGAUUUGGAGGAACACCAGUGGCGAAGGCGGCUUCCUGGUCUGUAACUGACGCUGAGGCGCGAAAGCGUGGGGAGCAAACAGGAUUAGAUGCCCUGGUAGUCCACGCCGUAAACGAUGAGUGCUAAGUGUUAGGGGGUUUCCGCCCCUUAGUGCUGCAGCUAACGCAUUAAGCACUCCGCCUGGGGAGUACGGCCGCAAAGGCUGA